GAUGAACGCUGGCGGCGUGCCUAAUACAUGCAAGUCGAACGAAGCGGGGACGGGUGAGUAACAUGUCGAUAAACUCCCCUAAGACUGGGAUAAAUUCGGGAAACCGGAGCUAAAACCGCAACUUAUACAUGGAUGUACGCUGCAUUAGCUAGUUGGUAAGGUAACGGCUUACAAAGGCAACGAUGCGUAGCCGACCUGAGAGGGUGACCAGCCACACUGGAACUGAGACACGGUCCAGACUCCUACGGGAGGCAGCAGUAGGGAAUCUUCCGCAAUGGGCGAAAGCCUGACGGAGCAACGCCGCGUGAGUGAAGAAGGUCUUCGGAUCGUAAAACUCUUUUAUUAGGGAAGCGGUACCUACUCAGAAAGCCACGGCUAACUACGUGCCAGCAGCCGCGGUAAUAC
rnacentral:rRNA from 1 species